rnacentral:ncRNA from 1 species
AUCUUCAGGGCGGGGUGUAAGUCCCCACUGGCGGUAAAGUCCGCGACCCGCAGUUUCAAACUGCGGCUGACCCGGUGCGAUUCCGGGACCAACAGUAAAAGUCUGGAUGGAAGAAGAG